rnacentral:rRNA from 1 species
UUCGGUGGCAAUUGCGGAGGGGUAACACCUGUUUCCAUUUCGAACACAGCAGUUAAGUCCUCCAGCGCCUAUGGUACUGCAAGGGUGACUUUGUGGGAGAGUAGGUCGCUGCCGAUU